GGGUGACCUCAGAUCAGGUAGGGAUACCCGCUGAACUUAAGCAUAUCA
rnacentral:rRNA from 1 species